GCAACUUUCAGAUAAACAGCCUUUACGACUGGUCAGUGUGGGUAUGCUCCCUUUAAGCCACAUUCUAGCACCCGCCACCCGGAGUAAAGGGGACUCCUCCCCCACACUGGCUGCUAGGUAGUGUGAUGAGAUGCCAUCCCGGCUGCUCCUUCACAGGAUACCUUGUGCACAGUUUUGGGAUGCAAAAUGGGGAUGAUCGCGCCACCCAUCUGAGGAGCACUGAGGACUGAGCGCCCCGAGAUGUACAAAGCAUGAAGAAUGGCGCAGGCGA
rnacentral:lncRNA from 1 species